GGUGACAAUAGCGAGGAGGUCCCACCUGUUCCCAUCCCGAACACAGUAGUUAAGCUCCUUAGCGCCGAUGAUACUUGGGGGGUGACCCUCUGGGAAAUAGGACGUCGCC
rnacentral:rRNA from 1 species